rnacentral:rRNA from 1 species
GACGAUGACGUUGAUAGGCCGGGUGUGUAAGCGCAGCGAUGCGUUGAGCUAACCGGUACUAAUGAACCGUGAGGCUUAACCUUAC